AGGGUUUGAUUCUGGCUCAGGAUGAACGCUAGCGGCACGCUUCAUACAUGCAAGUCGAGGGGCAGCAUAAAGUACUUGUACUUUGAUGGCGACCGGCGAACGGGUGCGUAACGCGUAUGCAACUUACCUUUUACUAGAGAAUAGCCAAGAGAAAUUUUGAUUAAUGCUCUAUACUCUUUUUAACUCACAUGAGAUUUUAAGAAAAGCUCCGGCGGUAAAAGAUGGGCAUGCGUCCUAUUAGCUUGUAGGUGAGGUAACGGCUCACCUAAGCUCCGAUAGGUAGGGGUCCUGAGAGGGAGAUCCCCCACACUGGUACUGAGACACGGACCAGACUUCUACGGAAGGCAGCAGUAAGGAAUAUUGGACAAUGGAGGAAACUCUGAUCCAGCGAUGCCGCGUGAAGGAAGACGGCCCUAUGGGUUGUAAACUUCUUUUAUACAGGAAGAAACCUUUCCACGUGUGGAAAGCUGACGGUACUGUAAGAAUAAGGAUCGGCUAACUCCGUGCCAGCAGCCGCGGUAAUAC
rnacentral:rRNA from 1 species